UCUCCACCAUUCUUCAGGCUGGACAAAAGCUACUCAAUUGCAAGUUCUUUAACGCAGAAAAUCCUCCUUGAAAAUUAUUGGAUUUUUGAAGGAUAAAUAUUUAUUUUGCAGUUUUGGAAAAGCAACCGCAUCUCUUCCCUGCGUGCCUUCAUUUACGUCAUUUUCUAGAAGGCAGAUUUUUCCAGUGAUUGAUGAUUCAUCUCGCCACCAUUUGUAAGGCUGGACAGAAGUUGAGCAUUGUACUUACGUGGAAGACGUCAACUAUUCAAGUUCUUCAACGGAACAAAUUUUCCUUGGAAAUUAUACAAAAUUUAUUUUGCAGUUUUAAAAAACGGUAAUUUUCAAGCGAGGAUUCUGAGAAUGGCUGGGUGCUUGACGAAAUCAAGUCACGGAUUGACAAAAGUGCUAUGGAUAUUUCUUCUCGUCUUGUCUGCGGUAUCUGAACAUCCAAAACCCUUCGUGAUCAUGAAGUCUUCAAUUGAUAACGUCCCCGAAAUUUCCACCGGUAUAAAUGUUCCACAAUCUCAGAUUCCCACGUUUCACGGACCACUUAUCAACCCUGCCUGGCAGACUGUCCCUCCAAGUACCCCCUCCAAGUCUCUGAAUUCGUACACAGCAUCUAAACCCUUAUCAGUUAAUAAACCAUGCUGGUGUACUACUCCCUUACCUCAAUCCUGCUUACAUACGUUUCCCUCCCCGGAUGCUGACCACCCUCAAACAACUAACGUUACCCGAACAACCUCGCCCACACGUGAUGACCUUGCAAGAUUUGAUAGAAUAUUGGAAGAAAUGUGUAAUAGUCCCGCACUUUUGAUUGCGUACUAUUAUACUCUCGGAAAUCGCGCCUCAAUUCCCAACGGGGCCACCCCUGUCUGGAUGGGCAGUUGGACAGGGUUUUACUUGUUUUUGGGUGCAAUUCAUUGGGCAAUUUGAAUCUAGUUCACCAAGUAUUUAAACAAACUACAAAACCAGUUAAAUACAUAGACUAGCAAAGUGUGAAGUAAAUAUAAAAGUUGAAUAAUUACUUGUUAGGAUUAAUUGUUUACAAGUUAUUUGAAUUAUUGCUUGGCUAAAACUUUAAAAAAAUUGGGCUGCUUAUCUAUGUACAUACUUAUUUGCUUAUUUGCAUGUGGGGAGAAAAUAGCAUUCUGCAAGAAAUUUUUACAAUUUGGGAAGAUUCAAAUGACAAAAAAACUUUGCAAGGGAGUUCAAUUAUUAUUGCCAUGAUAAAGAUAAUUGAUAGUACAAGUAAAUUAUUUCUAAAUUAUUUAUGAAAAGUAUGUAUAUGAAAUGAGUUUCACUAGCUUACGCACCCAGGUGAUUUUUUUUGUUAAAUACGUUCAACAAAAUCGUAUACAUACAUACGUGCAAUCAAAGCUUAUUAUUGAAUUGGGUCUUUUACUUUGAUGGAUGAUAAAAUGAUAAUGGAUAGCUUUUUAUACAAUAAACCUAAAAACUUAUGAGAAAA